UUGAUGUGAUUUAGUAAUCCU
rnacentral:piRNA from 1 species